rfam:Nematostella vectensis strain CH2 x CH6 NEMVEscaffold_157_Cont16199, whole genome shotgun sequence.
CGUGUAGCCGCUGACUCGCGAAAUCCUCUCCUCUCGAGAGGAUCUCGCGAGUCAGCGGCUACACG